AUUGGAUCAGCUUCAUUCCAGACUUUGCCAGAUGCACAUCACCAAAGGAUAAUUAAGAAAUUUACAAGAGAAAAAACUUGCACAGAAUCGAGAGAAGCGUUGUCUCUCAACAAGAAUAAGAAUUCUCAGGUAUGUGCUUUUGAUGUCAUUAAUGUUAAUAUAUGACAAUGAUAUUAAGACAAUUUAGACACACAUCAAACAACGAGAAAUACAAUGAGGUUGACGGAGACGGGUCCAAUCUUCACCUCGUAAUGGUGUUAUUAGCACUAUCAUAUCACCAGAUAUUUCAACUAUGAGUAUUGUAGGUCAGCGACGAAGAAUUUUAAAAAACCAAAAAUAAAAUAGAUGUGUUAUUUUGGAAAUGAGAGUUGAUGGCGGUGGUAGGGUGAAGACUGCUGUGACAACUCUUCAGUCAAACUGUUCUUUGAAUGUAAGCAUAAGACAUUUCUUGUCUUGUUCUUAUCGUCUUGCCGGGUCAUAGAACAAUAAUUCACGGUUCAAAAUAAUUCACGGUUCAAAAGGAGCACAAUGUUACUAGAGUCUUUGAGUGUCCUAGCAUUAUCAAUCUUUGAUUUUGAACCAACAAAAAUGACCUAUAAUUAAGGGUAUUGAUGGCAUUACCUGCUAAGAAUCCAGGUGAAGCUGACAAUGACCUGUCUUUAGAAGGUUCUCUCGAAGAAGAGCAAGGUUCAGGAAACCUAACUCAAGGGGCGAGUAGAAACUCUAGGUAUUUUAGGGCAUCUAAAAUUCGGAGUAAAGAAGUUGUAUGAUAUCAACAAACAAACAAACUCCUGUAAAUAAACAAUGCUAGC
rnacentral:lncRNA from 1 species